rnacentral:rRNA from 1 species
AGGACGAACGCUGGCGGCGUGCUUAACACAUGCAAGUGGAGCGACGAACCAGGGCUUGCCCUGGGGCAGAGCCGCGAACGGGUGAGUAACACGUGGGUUACCUGCCUCGAUGACCGGGACAACCCGAGGAAACUCGGGCUAAUACCGGAUGUGCCCGUAAGGGGAAAGGAAGCUUCGGCCUCCGCAUCGAGAUGGGCCCGCGGCCCAUUAGCUUGUUGGUGAGGUAACGGCUCACCAAGGCUUCGAUGGGUAGCUGGUCUGAGAGGACGAUCAGCCACACUGGGACUGAGACACGGCCCAGACUCCUACGGGAGGCAGCAGUGGGGAAUCUUGCGCAAUGCGCGAAAGCGUGACGCAGCAACGCCGCGUGGGGGAAGAAGGCUUUCGGGUUGUAAACCCCUUUCAGUUGGGACGAAGCUUCUCCGGUGAAUAGCCGGACGGAGUGACGGUACCUUCACAAGAGCACCGGCUAACUACGCGCCAGCAGCCGCGGU